CCUACGGGAUGCAGCAGUGAGGAAUAUUGGUCAAUGGACGCAAGUCUGAACCAGCCAUGCCGCGUGCAGGAUGAAGGCUCCAAGCGUUGUAAACUGCUUUUGUACGAGGAUAAACCCAGGUACGUGAACCGGGUUGAAGGUAUCGUAAGAAUAAGGAUCGGCUAACUCCGUGCCAGCAGCCGCGGUAAUACGGAGGAUCCGAGCGUUAUCCGGAUUUAUUGGGUUUAAAGGGUGCGUAGGCGGGUUGAUAAGUUAGAGGUGAAAGGUCGGGGCUCAACCCCGAAACUGCCUCUAAUACUGGUGGACUAGAGAAUAGUUGCGGUAGGCGGAAUGUAUGGUGUAGCGGUGAAAUGCUUAGAGAUCAUACAGAACACCGAUUGCGAAGGCAGCUUACCAAACGAGAUCUGACGUUGAGGCACGAAAGCGUGGGUAGCAAACAGGAUUAGAUACCCCAGUAGUC
rnacentral:rRNA from 1 species